CACUCCUGCGGGAGGCAGCAGUGGGGAAUUUUGGACAAUGGGCGAAAGCCUGAUCCAGCAAUGCCGCGUGCAGGAUGAAGGCCUUCGGGUUGUAAACUGCUUUUGUACGGAACGAAAAAGCUCCUUCUAAUACAGGGGGCCCAUGACGGUACCGUAAGAAUAAGCACCGGCUAACUACGUGCCAGCAGCCGCGGUAAUACGUAGGGUUCGAGCGUUAAUCGGAAUUACUGGGCGUAAAGCGUGCGCAGGCGGUUAUGUAAGACAGAUGUGAAAUCCCCGGGCUCAACCUGGGAACUGCAUUUGUGACUGCAUGGCUAGAGUACGGUAGAGGGGGAUGGAAUUCCGCGUGUAGCAGUGAAAUGCGUAGAUAUGCGGAGGAACACCGAUGGCGAAGGCAAUCCCCUGGACCUGUACUGACGCUCAUGCACGAAAGCGUGGGGAGCAAACAGGAUUAGAUACCCUUGUAGUCC
rnacentral:rRNA from 1 species